rnacentral:rRNA from 1 species
GCAUGGCUGUCGUCAGCUCGUGUCGUGAGAUGUUCGGUUAAGUCCGCUAACGAGCGCAACCCUCGUCGUAUGUUAUAUGUGUCAUACGAGACUGCCGGUAAAAAGACCGGAGGAAGGUGAGGAUGAUGUCAAGUCAGCAUGACCUUUAUAUCCAGGGCUACACACACGCUACAAUGGUCUGUACAAUGGGUAGCCAAGCCGCGAGGCGGAGCCAAUCCUGAAAGCAGGCCUCAGUUCAGAUUGCAGUCUGCAACUCGACUGCAUGAAGCCGGAGUUGCUAGUAACCGCAGGUCAGCAAUACUGCGGUGAAUACGUUCCCGGGUCCUU